rnacentral:sRNA from 1 species
AGGGACUGGAAGAAUAACAGGGGCGGGAGGCACUUCGGUGGGAAGCGUGGUCGCCACUCGGACGGCCAUGAAAGGGCAAAUAAAGCUCGAAAAGUCGAUGCUGCUGCUUAAAGGCCUCGUCGUCUUAUACUAGUAACCUCAGCUUAUGAGCUCUAGUGAGGAACGGAAAUGUUUGCUCCGUUGCUUGCUUCCACAACUUUGGGAGCAAACCUUUUGUGUUGUGUUUCUUGUCGUGAGCUAUGCUCUUUGGAAGUAAGAAACGGUGAACUCAUGAUGAAACGGAAAAUUUUGUUCGGUC